GUUUUUGGUAUCACAUUUUAUGCAUUUACCUUUUCGAAUGAAUUUUUUGAUUCGAAAGAUUUUAAUGAAUGUAAAUGGUAGCUUUUAGCUAACUGAAAAUUGAAGUAGAUAAAAUCGGGAUACGAGUAUAUCAAUCUAAUGAUAAAAUCACACAUAAUAUUCAGUAUUAAUUAUUCUCAAUAAUAUGUUUUUAAUGAUGUUAUAAUCAUUUGAAAUUUUUAAAAUAAGGACAUAAAGGGGCUUCAAAGAUUACUGUCACAAGAGAAACGAUUGGAUAUAGAUUUUAAAACUUUACCGAAGAGGAAUUUGAAACCAUGAAUAAGACAAUUCAACAUGCGAAGACAAAAUAUGAAAGAUCCAAAAAAUCAAUUAAAAUAUAAGUUUGCUUUUCCUUCUACAUACAUUUAGUUCUAUACUUU
rnacentral:lncRNA from 1 species